rnacentral:misc_RNA from 1 species
AACGAGGCCGACCUGCGGCUGAGUUACCUGCGGAAGGAUCAUUAUAGAGUUUUCUAAACUCCCAACCCAUGUGAACUUACCUUUUGUUGCCUCGGCAGAAGUUAGAGGACUUCCUUAUAGCUGCUGCCGGUGGACCAUUAAACUCUUGUUAUUUUAUGUAAUCUGAGCGUCUUAUUUUAAUAAGUCAAAACUUUCAACAAUGGAUCU